rnacentral:rRNA from 1 species
UACGUAGGGUGCGAGCGUUAAUCGGAAUUACUGGGCGUAAAGCGUGCGCAGGCGGUUCGUUAUGUCCGAUGUGAAAGCCCCGAGCUCAACUUGGGAAUGGCAUUGGAAACUGGCGGGCUGGAGUGUGGCAGAGGGGGGUGGAAUUCCACGUGUAGCAGUGAAAUGCGUAGAGAUGUGGAGGAACACCGAUGGCGAAGGCAGCCCACUGGGCCAAAACUGACGCUCAGGCACGAAAGCGUGGGGAGCAAACAGG